GGGAAAGUUGCAAAGUACUUUGAAGAGAGAGUUAAACAGGGCGUGAAACCGCUAGCUGGUAAACGAGUAGAGCCACGAAGUCGUUUCGUAGAAUAAGAGAUACAGAUUCAGUUGAGGUUGGCGCAAGUUGGCCUUGGUGCAUUUCUGUUUAUCUCUCUAUGUAUGCGUACACUGCAACCAAUUAGACGAUCAAUUGUGGAAAUAGCUAGCCUACAUUGGGAGAAAUCUUAGCGUUAGUUAGCGAAAUGCCUAUAUACCUUCUGUAGGUUGUUCGAUUUGAUCCUCGUGGUCAUCUUGAGCGUAUGAUGGGAUGGUAUGAGAACUACAAUUGAAUACUGAUUGGCAAAAUGAAAAUCCAUUCGCAAGAAUGGUCCCAGAUAACACUACCUGUAUCGUAUGUGUGUACAAGUACUUAUUAUUAGCGUAAGCUUGGUAGUUUUAAAUUUAGACUGGUUAGGCUAUCUUUGGUUUCGGCCCUUGAUGCCUAUUCAGCUUUCUAUCUAAUUGGCUAUCAACUUUGCUACUAAUCUUGUGCUUGCCAAUGAUAGCAUGCAUGCGACAAUGGGCAAGUAAUCUUAUUGGCAGUGAGUAGGUCGGCUUUCUACACGACCC
rnacentral:rRNA from 1 species